GAAAUGCGAUAAGUAGUGUGAAUUGCAGAAUUCAGUGAAUCAUCGAAUCUUUGAACGCACAUUGCGCCCUUUGGUAUUCCUUAGGGCAUGCCUGUUCGAGCGUCAUUUAAACCUUCAAGCUCAGCUUGGUGUUGGGUGACUGUCCGCUGCCCUCGGGUGCGGACUCGCCUCAAAAUCAUUGGCGGCCGGUACAUUGGCUUCGAGCGCAGCAGAAACGCGAACUCGAGCCCGUUGUAUUGGCUCCCAGAAGCUAUCUUCAUAAUUUUGACCUCGGAUCAGGUAGGGAUACCCGCUGAACUUAA
rnacentral:misc_RNA from 1 species